rnacentral:lncRNA from 15 species
UAGCUAGCUUUAGCUUUAGCUGAAUUAGCUAACGUUAAUAUUUGCUAAAACAAAACGGUACAGACUGAAUCUUUCUAACAGUUAACGUCAGAUUCAAAACACGGCUUCGCUAAAAUAAUGGGUAAUUACAGUCAAUAACACAAAUAAAACAUUGUUCUUGAUUUCAGUUUAAUUACCAAACUUAUUUUCUUCUUCUAAUAUUUAUUACAUUUUAGCUUCUAAAGAGACACAAAUACAAAAAUGUCCUCCCAACUUUGAUGUUUUGAAACUUAGAUACACUGCCUGUUGUUGGUAUAUUCACACACACACACACACACACACACACACACACACGUCAUAGUAUUGGGUCAGGAUUUCAUAGAUUGUGUAUAAGAAAGUGGAUCUAUCAGUGUAUUAAACAACUGACUAUUAAUUGCUUCUCAUGAAGUGAAAGGAAGUUUUAUCACUCUCAUACUGUGUAAUAUCCUUUACUGCCACCUGAAGGUUUCUGCAGACAGAAGAUUUCAACGAUUAAACCUUCUGCCCUCUGGCCACAGUCCUCAGCUGUCAGACAUUAAAGAAUGAGCAAAAACGUAUCAUGUUGAUGACUAUAUUUACAUAAUUUGCUGUCUAUCACAGUGUUACAGAUUUGUUCAAAUGUGUCAGGAUAAAUUAGGUAUGUACCUACACUAAGUGAUGUUGGAGAAUUAGUAGAAAGUAAAAAUAGUGUUUCUGUGAAAAUGAAACUCAAGAGACAAACGGAAGUAGUAGAGUUGCAAGCGAGUGGAGAUGAGGUAAAAGCUGUGCACACACAGCUAUGCAGUGGUUGAGGUAACACCCGGAGUAUAUAAAGCAUGUUGAGGUCUCAUCUCAGCUAUCCUUCCGUUUACCCAGCAGCGAUGACAGCAGCAGCUUUGUCCAGAAGCAGAGGAGUGGCUGGUGUCACAGCCACCAGAGGCCUGUUCUUCAUCUUCUCCCUGCUGUAUUUGGUUUGCCUUGCAAGUUCAUUCAUUGACGAGGACCAACUGGAAAAGCAAAAGGAAGAUCUCCAGAAAGCAGAACAACAACUGGAAAGUUUGAAGGAACAGUACAAAUUAGAAAUGGCCUCCAGUUUAGAGCUCAUAGAUGAAUAUAUGGGCUACCUGGACCCAAUGAUGGCAUUAGUGAAGAAAACUACAGGAACAUCACCUGAUGACUUUCCACCAAUGGAUGCACUUCUGCAGAGCGUCAAGGCCUACAUGGAGAAAACCAAGAGUUACGUGGAAGACAAAAAAGUGAAGUUAGGUGCAAAACUAGAGAACAUUGAAAAGGAUCUUGAAAAAAAAAAGAAAUUAAUCAAAUUCCUUGAGGAGCAGCAGGGUGAAUUGUAACUUCCAUGUCAAUUAGUGCCUCUAUCUCUGAUAUUGCAUCUAUUGUACCUAAGUUACUACCUUAAAUUUCUCUUUGUUUGUGCAACCUCAUUUCAAAAUGAUUUUAGAGUCACUGUUGACAGGGAUGUGAAAUCAGUGUUCUGUGGUUUCACAGGAAGUGAAAGUGAAUUA